ACGGCUCAGUAACACGUGGAUAACCUGCCCAAGGGUCCGGGAUAACCCCGGGAAACUGGGGAUAAUACCGGAUGGAUCACUUAUGCUGGAAUGCUUGGUGGUCGAAAGGUGACGCCCUUGGAUGGGUCUGCGGCGGAUUAGGUUGACGCCGGUGUAACGUACCGGCGUGCCUGUAAUCCGUACGGGUUGUGGGAGCAAGAGCCCGGAGAUGGAUUCUGAGACACGAAUCCAGGCCCUACGGGGCGCAGCAGGCGCGAAAACUCUACAAUGCAGGCAACUGCGAUAGGGGGACAUCGAGUGGCAUCCACCUUGGGUGCCUGUCCCACCGUCUAAAAAACGGUGGUUAGCAAGGGCCGGGCAAGACCGGUGCCAGCCGCCGCGGUAAUACCAGCGGCUCGAGUGGUGGCCGAUAUUAUUGAGUCUAAAGGGUCCGUAGCCGGCUUUGCAAGUCCCCUGGGAAAUCCAGCGGCUUAACCGUUGGGCUUUCAUGGGAUACUACAUUGCUUGGGACUGGGAGAGGUAGGAGGUACUCGGGGGGUAGGGGUGAAAUCCUGUAAUCCCCCGGGGACCACCGGUGGCGAAGGCGUCCUACCAGAACAGGUCCGACGGUGAGGGACGAAAGCUAGGGGCACGAACCGGAUUAGAUACCCGGGUAGUCCUAGCCGUAAACGAUGCCCGCUAGGUGUCACGGCGGUCGUGAAUCGCCGUGGUGCCGUAGGGAAGCCGCGAAGCGGGCCACUUGGGAAGUACGGCCGCAAGGCUGAAACUUAAAGGAAUUGGCGGGGGAGCAC
rnacentral:rRNA from 1 species